GUCUCUGGAAGAUACUUGAAUCACAGGACUGAAUAAGGAAGAGCUGCCCUCAGCGUGGCCGGGCAACAUCUAAUCGGCUGAAAGCUUGGAUCGAAUGAAAAGGCAGAGGAAAGGUGAAUUUUCUUUUUAUCCUGGAGCUGGACACCCUGUUUCUCCUGCCUGUGGACAUCAGAAUUCUAGGCUCUGUGGCAUUUCAACUGUAAAACUUGCACUAGUAGCCAGCUGGUUUCUCAAGUCGUUGGCUUCAAAACUGAGAAGUACAGCAUUCUCUUCCCAGGUUCUGAAGACCUCAAAUGGACUGAGCCACACUACCAGCAUCCAGCAUCCAUGGUUCUCCAGUCUGCAGAUGGCCUAUUAUGGGACUUUUCAGUCUUCAUAAUUAUAUGAGAGAAAGAAAAUGAAAAGGAUUUGUAAACUAUAAAUCUCUAAACAGAUGGGAGGAAAGGAAUUGAUGAAACAAUAAAUUUAUUGAUGAAACAAUAAAAAUAAACAUAAAGAACCAAAGAGAAAUGAAACAAAAAAAAGAAGGAUUAAUUAUGACUUUCUACCACUCUAAGGAAUUCUCAAAAGCCAUGGGCCUCACAGUAUGGCAAAAACUAUUCUUCCAAGAAAUGCAGGUAUUCCUCAGGGAGGCACAGGGCCUGCUAUUUUGUAGAUGAAAUGUAUCUUUCUGGAUAGUCUAGGUUUUCAAAGGCCUGUGAAGAAACACAGAAGAGUUGGGUUGAGAUUCCUGAGAGCCUUGCUGGUCGUCUUUGAAAAAGGCUAGUCUGGCCUGGUUGUCAUGACGGGAAGCUGUGCCCUCCAGCGAUCCUCCCCUGUGGUCUGAGUGUUGUGCAGAUGCUCCUUGGGUCUGCUCCAGCUGUGAUCCCCAAUGACUGUGUCUUGAGGAAAUGCCCAGGCUGCCUCAAAGACCCUUUCAUGAGCUGCCACUAGCACUGGUCUGCUUCAUCCCUUCUUUAGUGUGUCUUGGAUGCAAACUGUUUCUUCGUGCAGGGAGAGGCAGUCACCUAGAACAGAAGAAGCCCCUGGAGUCAAGAGACUUCGACUUGGGUCCCUGCACUGGCAGUGUAACCCUUGCACAUCACAUAGCCAGUCCUGGCUUCAGUUACUUUCCCCACCUGGAGACUCGGGGUCGGCCCCUCUUCUGGGCUGGGCUGUGCUUUGGCAUCAUUGAGCUUCAACUUUAAAC
rnacentral:lncRNA from 1 species